GACGAACGCUGGCGGCGCGCCUAACACAUGCAAGUCGAACGGUGAAGAGGAGCUUGCUCCUCGGAUCAGUGGCGGACGGGUGAGUAACACGUGAGCAACCUGGCUUUAAGAGGGGGACAACAGUUGGAAACGACUGCUAAUACCGCAUAAUGUAUCGGGAUGGCAUCUUCCUGAUACCAAAGAUUUUAUCGCUUAGAGAUGGGCUCACGUCUGAUUAGCUAGUUGGUGAGGUAACGGCUCACCAAGGCUGCGAUCAGUAGCCGGACUGAGAGGUUGACCGGCCACAUUGGGACUGAGAUACGGCCCAGACUCCUACGGGAGGCAGCAGUGGGGAAUAUUGGGCAAUGGGGGAAACCCUGACCCAGCAACGCCGCGUGAAGGAAGAAGGCCUUCGGGUUGGUAAACUUCUUUUACCAGGACGAAAAAGAUAGACGGUACCUGGAGAAAAAGACAACGGACUAACUAACGUAGCCAGCAGCCGC
rnacentral:rRNA from 1 species